rnacentral:rRNA from 1 species
UACGUAGGGUGCGAGCGUUGUCCGGAAUUAUUGGGCGUAAAGCGCGCGUAGGCGGUUACUUAUGUCGGAUGUGAAAGCCCUCGGCUUAACUGAGGAAGUGCAUUCGAAACUGGGUAGCUAGAGUACUAAAGAGGGUCGCGGAAUUCCCGGUGUAGAGGUGAAAUUCGUAGAUACCGGGAGGAACACCGGUGGCGAAGGCGGCGACCUGGGUAGAUACUGACGCUGAGGCGCGAAAGCGUGGGGAGCAAACAGG